GUGAGUGCCAGGCAGAAGACAGAACUGUUGGUCACUGUUAUUCCAACAACAACAGGGCUGAGGGCAGAGGUCACAGUUCAUGCUGAGCCCAUAACUAAAGACUCAUCAUCUCCAGGGGCAGGGCUGUAACCCAGCAGGACAAGAUGGCAGGGGAAGAUGACAGGGGAAGCUCUAACCUGUCAGGUGAUGGACCCAGGCACAUGGAAACUCAGGAAGGCUUGGUCCCCCAACCCUCACCUUCCUCACUCUUUCUCUCUCCAUCCCUCUUAGGAAUUCAGGGAAGAUAAUGAUGUGGACUCUAAGCUCCUGGCUUUGACAUGACUCAGGCCAGCGAUGGACCACCCAGGGUUUCCAAGAAAGUACUCAUGUGGACUCUAAGCCCUUGAAGUUUGACUUGACUCAGGCCAGCAAUGUGCCACCCAGGCCUCACCACACUGCCGGAUUUCACCAGGUCCAAGCAUCAAACCAGGAGCUCACUCAGGGCAGCACCUGUUGGCCUUCACAAAUCAGAACUGAGGAUCCAGGAGUGGGACUGAGACUUGUCUUCCUUUGCACCUCAGCAGGAUACCACCUCACCUGGAAAUUCAUCUUUAAGGUACAGUGUAUUCAUCUUGGUGUUGUCAGGUGCGGGAUCAGCUUAUACCUGGUGCUGGGAGUUGACACUCAUUUCUUAUACAUGUGUCUUUGGUGGCCAUUUGGACUCAUUUUUCCCUCCCUUUGAACACCCCACUUUGCACUAGUCUGGGAACAGGGUUAGACCAAUAGAGUUUUUCCAUCUCUGUUUUCUGCAUGUUGGUUAUGCAUGCAUUUCAAGUUAGUAUGAAAAAACAUAAAUCAGUUUUUGAUCUCACUGAGAAAGUCUCUCUUGAGAUUAAAUAAAAUACAGAACAUACCUCAUAUUGAUUAAUGGACAACUUAGUGCCAAGGAAACAUUUAUUAUGGGUGCCAGAAUCAAGGCGGCAUCUUAGAAAGCUGAAGGUCUUGAGAAUUAAUCUAUAAUUUGGGGUUUUUACUUGACUAAAUAACAUAGGACUUGGGAAAGUAAAUUGUAGAAUUAUCUUUUGUUUUGGUUUAUACACCUAAUCAUUAUCUAGCCCCUCAUUAAAUGACAUAAGUGGAGUUCCCGUCGUGGCGCAGUGGUUAACGAAUCCGACUAGGAACCAUGAGGUUUCGGGUUCAAUCCCUGCCCUUGCUCAGUGGUUUAACGAUCCGGCGUUGCUGUGAGCUGUGGUGUAGGUUGCAGACGCGGCUCGGAUCCCGCGUUGCUGUGGCUCUGGCGUAGGCCAGUGGCUACAGCUCCGAUUUAACCCCUAGCCUGGGAACCUCCAUAUGCCGCGGGAGCGGCCCAAGAAAUAGCAACAAUAACAACAACAACAACAACAACAAAAAAAAUACAAAAGACAAAAAAAAAAAAAUGACAUAAGUGAUUGAGCCUUACACAAAAUCAAGGUUUAUAUAAAUGUUAUUUGAUUAACUUGAUAUUUAUUUAAAGGGCAUUCUAGUAUGCUUUCAGAGUAAGUUAAUUAGUAAACGAAAUUUAUGAAUUCCUGAAGGAGUAAUAUCUUUUCCAGAUUGGCAAUUUUUGCUGCAAAUAAAACUAAUUAUUUGAAUAGAUAUAAACUUGAGCAAAAAAAAAAAAUCUUUGCUGUGAGGAUGCAGAGAAAUAGAACUGAUUGAAGAACAGACCCCUUCUGCUAAAGUCUAAUUAUUUAUAUUUGCCCUUUAGUUAUGUUCAAGGCAACCAGACAUCCUCAUUUGGAAGAUAUGCACUGAAAUACAAAACCCCUAUAAUGCCAAAGGUGCAGAUUAUUCCCUUGAACCUGAUACUAAUGGAUUUCCCCGACUCUUAGAACCAGAAAGAACCCUGGUGAACCUCUAAACCGAACACCUCAUUUCACAGAUGAGGAUACUGAAGUAUCUUUGCCAAAAUCUAAAAAGAAAGUUUGUAAACAAAGUGAAAGAAAGUCAUAAAAUAAAAAGCAUUUAAACAUGUACCUAAGAAAUAAAUACAUUAAUAAUAAUAAUAUGGUUGAAAUCACAAUAGGCCAAAUAUCAUCCAAAGAAAAUAGAGGAAAUAGAAAUUAAUAAUUGGCCAUUUAGAAUAUCUACUGUGAGAAACUUGAACAUUUCUUUUUACUUAUCUCAAACUAUGUAUCUUCCUUAUUAGCACAAAAAUGCAAAUAAAUUUUGUUAAAAUUUGUGUUUUUUAUUUGUUUAAGCAAUGAGUUUUUUUAAUGUUUAAUACUAUUGAACACAUAGGACUCUAUAUCAGCACUGUCACAAUUUAUUCAUUAAUUCAACAAAUAAUUUUUGAGUGUCAACUACUUUCCAGUGUCUGUCUUGAGAUGGCACAUUCAGGUAUGAUCUCCUGAGUACAGAACCAGAAGCUGUGCUUUUGUCUUUUCACUAAGUGCUGAAUACAUCAAUAGUUUGGUAUUUUCUGCCCUAGUGGAGACUAAAAGCACCUCUACAAAAGAGGAUUUUCUAAGUCUAUAAAUGUUCCAACACUCCCAUAACAGCAGAGGGCCAUAUGGAAUUAUACAGUCAAUAUUUAAGAAUACAUAGCUUGUAAUUGACCUGCAAUUAUAAUUCUAGGAGUUUCUGCUCCAGAUAUGCUUGUGAACAAAAUAUAUGAUUCACUGCAAUUUUUUGCAAUAGAUCCAAAUAAAUUUAAUGUCCAUCAACACAAGAAUGAUUAAAUAAAUUAUGGCAUAUCCAUUAAAAAUGGCAACCAUAAAAAAAAAUACAGGCUGACAAGGAAAUAUUUUCUGAAGUGAAAAAAUAAUGCAGAGCAGUGUAUAUACUAUGGUUCUGCUUGCAAAAAAAAAUUCUCAUAUGUGGUUUCAUUAAAAUGGAAAUAUAAAUAAGACAUUAUUAACAGUGGGUGUCUUUGAGAAGAGUAUCAGGCAAGAGCAAGAAAAAAAGAAGACUUUUAGUUUUAUAUCCUUCGGUACUUUUUUUUUGCUUUUUUUUUUUUUGCUUUUUUUUAGGGCCACACCACCCAUGACAUAUGGAAGUUCCCAGGCUAGGGGUCAAAUCAGAGCUGCAAGCUGCCAGCCUAUCUCACAGCCACAGCAAUGCAGGAUCCAAGCCAUGUCUGCAAUCUACAUCUUAGCUCACAGCAACAUUGGAAUCCCAAUGUGAUUCCAAUGUGAGGCCAGGGAUCAAACCUGCAUCUUCAUGGAUACCAGUCACAUUUGUCUCUGUUGCACCACAAUGGGACCUCCACUUUCAGUACUUUUUGAAAUGUUUUGCUGUAUACAUGCACUAUAUUUACAUGUUUUAUUUUUUUCUUCUUUUUUUUUUUUUUUUUUGUCUUUCUGCUAUUUCUUGGACCGCUCCCCC
rnacentral:lncRNA from 9 species